AAGGUGAGGGAUUUUACGCUUAUUCAUAUGGUUAUAUAUAUUUUUAUUAUCGCGUUUGAUUACUUGUUUACGUGCAUCUUAUGACUAUGUUGUUAUGUGUGAUCAUGGGACCUAAGCCAUUGAUCUAUGAUGUUAUGUGCGAUCAUGGGACCUAAGCCAUUGAUCUAUGUUGAUAAGUUGAUCAUGGGACCUAAGCCAUUGAUCUAUGUAUGUGUUUGGUCAUGGGACUUAAGCCAUCGACUCAAACUAUGAUUAUGUUUGUCAAGGGGCUCCGGUCUCUUGGCGUAUGUUUGCAAGUAUGAUAAUGUGAUUUGAUUACGUAUGUGACGUAUGUGGAUAUUUGUUAUGUUCCUCACUUAGUAUAUUUUCAAUAUGCUCACCCCUUAUCUUUUCAGUUUUGCAGUUCUGGAGUUGAGGCGGCCAUGGAAGUCGAGAAUGACU
rnacentral:lncRNA from 1 species